rnacentral:pre_miRNA from 1 species
UAAUUCUUGCUCCCCAGGUGAGAGUGCUUUGUGAAUGCAAUCCACCUGGGCAAGGAUUCUGA